CUAGACAGGAAGUGACGUAGCUGGGCAGAAUCAGGAUAUAAGCAGGGACAAACAGGAAAUCACUCUCUUCUCUCUGGAGCCGCUUAGCGGUCAUCAUGUGAGUUUCCAAAGUAGCUAGAGGUCCGGACCUUUCUCUGACUAUUGGCCAGACCUUGUAGAGCGUCCUUCAACUUAAAAUGCUUUCGUAUUUUCCUAUCAUGAGACUGAAACUAGGGAUUGGAAGAAAUGUGCAGAGAAAAAUCUUCUCCUCACCUUAUGAAAAGGAUCAUGAUAUCAACAUUUUACAAGGAGAAACACUCACCUUGGUCGCAUGCUUAGGAUCAACCCACCAGCUUCUUCCUCCGACGGCACUGCCCCUCCCUUUUUAUUAUCCCUCCGUUCUCAAAACUGAAUCACAGAGUACAAACUGCACUCAGUGAUCCUGUGCGUGUGUUGUGCUUCACUUCUCAGAGUGGGGAAGGAAGAAAAUUUGUUACAAAAGCUGUUGAGGUGCUAAAAGCAGCGUUUAAUAAAAGCCUUUUCUGAGUCCCCGCCUA